rnacentral:rRNA from 1 species
GACAGAGGAUGCAAGCGUUAUCCGGAAUGAUUGGGCGUAAAGCGUCUGUAGGUGGCUUUUUAAGUCUGCUGUCAAAUCCCAGGGCUUAACCCUGGACAGGCGGUGGAAACUACCAAGCUGGAGUACGGUAGGGGCAGAGGGAAUUUCCGGUGGAGCGGUGAAAUGCAUUGAGAUCGGAAAGAACACCAACGGCGAAAGCGCUCUGCUGGGACGACACUGACACUGAGAGACGAAAGCGAGGGGAGCAAAUGGG